GAUGCAGAUUGGGGAACUUGUCA
rnacentral:siRNA from 1 species